rnacentral:rRNA from 1 species
UACAGAGGGGGCAAGCGUUGUUCGGAAUUACUGGGCGUAAAGAGCUCGUAGGCGGCUUGUCACGUCGGGUGUGAAAGCCCGGGGCUUAACCCCGGGUCUGCAUUCGAUACGGGCUAGCUAGAGUGUGGUAGGGGAGAUCGGAAUUCCUGGUGUAGCGGUGAAAUGCGCAGAUAUCAGGAGGAACACCGGUGGCGAAGGCGGCUCACUGGCCCGAUACUGACGCUGAUGCACGAAAGCGUGGGGAGCAAACAGG